UAAUAGUCUUCAUUUCAUUAACUCUGAG
rnacentral:piRNA from 1 species